rnacentral:rRNA from 1 species
UACGAAGGGGGCUAGCGUUGUUCGGAAUUACUGGGCGUAAAGGGCUCGUAGGUGGCCAACUAAGUCAGACGUGAAAUCCCUCGGCUUAACCGGGGAACUGCAUCUGAUACUGGAUGGCUUGAGACCGGGAGAGGUGAGUGGAAUUCCCAAUGUAGCGGUGAAAUGCGCAGAUAUCAGGAAGAACACCAAUGGCGAAAGCAGCUUUCUGGGACGGUACUGACGCUGAGACGCGAAAGCGUGGGGAGCGAACAGG